rnacentral:rRNA from 1 species
AGAGUUUGAUCAUGGCUCAGAAUCAACGCUGGCGGCGCGCUUAACACAUGCAAGUCGCACGAGAAAGUGGAGCAAUCCAUGAGUACAGUGGCGUACGGGUGAGUAACACGUGGAUCAUCUACCUCUUAGUGGGGAAUAACCCUGGGAAACCGGGGCUAAUACCGCAUAAGCUCGAGAGAGGAAAGCAGCAAUGCGCUGAGAGAGGAGUCCGCGGCCGAUUAGCUAGUUGGCAGGGUAAACGCCUACCAAGGCAAAGAUCGGUAGCCGGCCUGAGAGGGCACACGGCCACACUGGCACUGAAACACGGGCCAGACUCCUACGGGAGGCAGCAGUGGGGAAUCUUGCACAAUGGGGGAAACCCUGAUGCAGCGACGCCGCGUGAGCGAUGAAGCCCUUCGGGGUGUAAAGCUCUUUCGGCAGGGACGAUCAUGACGGUACCUGCAGAAGCAGCUGCGGCUAACUACGUGCCAGCAGCCGCGGUAAUACGUAGGCAGCGAGCGUUGUUCGGAGUUACUGGGCGUAAAGGGUGUGUAGGCGGUUGCUUAAGUUUGGUGUGAAAUCUCCCGGCUCAACUGGGAGGGUGCGCCGAAUACUGAGUGACUCGAGUGCGGGAGAGGAGAGUGGAAUUCCUGGUGUAGCGGUGAAAUGCGUAGAUAUCAGGAGGAACACCGGCGGUGUAGACGGCUCUCUGGACCGUAACUGACGCUGAGACACGAAAGCGUGGGUAGCAAACAGGAUUAGAUACCCUGGUAGUCCACGCCCUAAACGAUGCAUAUUUGGUGUGGGUCAUUCAGUUGAUCCGUGCCGGAGCUAACGCGUUAAAUAUGCCGCCUGGGGAGUACAGUCGCAAGGCUGAAACUCAAAGGAAUUGACGGGGCCCGCACAAGCGGUGGAGCAUGUGGUUCAAUUCGACGCAACGCGAAGAA